UUACGGCCAUAUCACGUUGAAACAUCGGUUCCCGUACAAUCACUGAAGUUAAGCAACGUCGAGCCUGGUCAGUACCUAGAUGGGUAACCGCUUGGAAAUACCA
rnacentral:rRNA from 1 species